rnacentral:rRNA from 1 species
GACGAACGCUGGCGGCGUGCCUAAUACAUGCAAGUAGAACGCACAGUUUAUACCGUAGCUUGCUACACCAUAGACUGUGAGUUGCGAACGGGUGAGUAACGCGUAGGUAACCUGCCUGGUAGCGGGGGAUAACUAUUGGAAACGAUAGCUAAUACCGCAUAAUAUUAAUUAUUGCAUGAUAAUUAAUUGAAAGGUGCAAUUGCACCACUACCAGAUGGACCUGCGUUGUAUUAGCUAGUAGGGGAGGUAACGGCUCACCUAGGCGAAGAUACAUAGCCGACCUGAGAGGGGGAUCGGCCACACUGGGACUGAGACACGGCCCAGACUCCUACGGGAGGCAGCAGUAGGGGAUCUUCGGCAAUGGACGAAAGUCUGACCGGGGAACGCCGCGGGAGGGAAGAAGGGUCUCGGAUCGUAAAGCUCUGUUGUAAGAGAAGAACGGGUGUGAGAGUGGAAAGUGCACACUGUGACGGUAUCUUACCAGAAAGGGACGGCUAACUACGUG